rnacentral:rRNA from 1 species
UACGUAGGGGGCUAGCGUUGUCCGGAAUCAUUGGGCGUAAAGCGCGUGUAGGCGGUUCGGUAAGUCCGCUGUGAAAGUCGGGGGCUCAACCCUCGAAUGCCGGUGGAUACUGUCGGACUAGAGUACGGAAGAGGCGAGUGGAAUUCCUGGUGUAGCGGUGAAAUGCGCAGAUAUCAGGAAGAACACCCGUGGCGAAGGCGGCUCUCUGGGACGGUAUUGACGCUCAUGCACGAAAGCGUGGGGAGCAAACAGGG